GAUGAACGCUGGCGGCGUGCCUAACACAUGCAAGUCGAGCGAAGCACCUUACUUGAUUUCUUCGGGAUGAAAGUAUUGUGACUGAGCGGGCGUACGGGUCGAAGGUACGCGUAGAGUAACUGCUCAUACAGGGGGAUAACAGUUAGAAAUGACUGCUAAUACCGCAUAAGACCACAGCACCGCAUGGUGCAGGGGUAAAAACUCCGGUGGUAUGAGAUGGAUCCGCGUCUGAUUAGCUAGUUGGUAAGGUAACGGCUUACCAAGGCAACGAUCAGUAGCCGACCUGAGAGGGUGACCGGCACAUUGGGACUGAGACACGGCCCAA
rnacentral:rRNA from 1 species